UUUUCCUACGGGAGGCAGCAGUGAGGAAUAUUGGUCAAUGGGCGAGAGCCUGAACCAGCCAAGUCGCGUGAGGGAAGACGGUCCUAUGGAUUGUAAACCUCUUUUGUCAGGGAACAAAGGCGGGGACGUGUCCCCGGAUGAGUGUACCUGAAGAAAAAGCAUCGGCUAACUCCGUGCCAGCAGCCGCGGUAAUACGGAGGAUGCGAGCGUUAUCCGGAUUUAUUGGGUUUAAAGGGUGCGCAGGCGGUCUGUUAAGUCAGCGGUCAAAGCCCGGGGCUCAACCCCGGCCCGCCGGUGAAACUGGG
rnacentral:rRNA from 1 species